GACAGAGGUGCCAAGCGUUAGGCGGAAUCACUGGGCUUAAAGCGUGUGUAGGCGGAAUUGUAAGUACCUUGUGAAAUCCCACAGCUCAACUGUGGAACUGCUUGGUAUACUGCUUUUCUUGAGCCACUUAGGGGCUGUCGGAACAAAUGGUGGAGCGGUGAAAUGCGUAGAUAUCAUUUGGAACGCCAACGGUGAAAACAGACAGCUGGGAGUGUGCUGACGCUGAGACACGAAAGCCAGGGGAGCGAACGGG
rnacentral:rRNA from 1 species